AACGGAGAAGCCGAAAACCGAUUAUAGAGUAGGCA
rnacentral:ncRNA from 1 species